UUUCGCAAUGCCCGAAAGGGUGACGAAGCGACGCCGCGUGCGGGAAGAAGGCCUUCGGGUUGUAAACCGCUGUCGGGAGUUAAGAAAUGUAAGGAUGUUAAUAGCAUCUUUGCUUGACUAAGGCUCCGGAGGAAGCCACGGCUAACUCUGUGCCAGCAGCCGCGGUAAUACAGAGGCGGCAAGCGUUGUUCGGAAUUAUUGGGCGUAAAGAGCACGUAGGCGGCUAUGUAAGUCGGUUGUGAAAGCCUUCCGCUCAACGGGAGAACAGCAUCCGAUACUGCAUGGCUUGAGUGCGGGAGGGGAGAGUGGAACUUCUGGUGGAGCGGUGAAAUGCGUAGAUAUCAGAAAGAACGCCGGCGGCGAAAGCGGCUCUCUGGCCCAUAACUGACGCUGAGUGUGCGAAAGCUAGGGGAGCAAACGGGAUUAGAUACCCCGGUAGUCCUAGCCGUAAACGAUGGGCACUAAGUAGAGGGGUUUUA
rnacentral:rRNA from 1 species